rnacentral:rRNA from 1 species
UACGGAGGGUGCAAGCGUUAUCCGGAUUCACUGGGUUUAAAGGGUGCGUAGGCGGGCAUAUAAGUCAGUGGUGAAAUCCCCGAGCUUAACUUGGGAACUGCCGUUGAUACUAUGUGUCUUGAAUAUCGCGGAGGUAAGCGGAAUAUGUCAUGUAGCGGUGAAAUGCAUAGAUAUGACAUAGUACACCGAUUGCGAAGGCAGCUUACUACACGAUCAUUGACGCUGAGGCACGAAAGCGUGGGGAGCAAACAGG